rnacentral:rRNA from 1 species
CAAUAGCGUGUAUUAACGUUGUUGCAGUUAAAAAGCUCGUAGUUGGAUUUCUGGAGGGAGCGUCGGCCCGUAUUUACGAGUGCGUGACGUCUCUGUCCAUCCUUGCGGGAAGGCACGGCAUUGAUUUGUUGUGUCGGAUCGCAUCAUUUACUGUGAAAAAAUUAGAGUGUUCAAAGCAGGCUUUCGCUUGAAUACAUUAGCAUGGAAUAAUAAGAUAGGACUUUGGUGCUAUUUUGUUGGUUGAGCCUAAAGUAAUGAUUAAUAGGGAUAGUUGGGGGCACCUGUAUUGCGUUGUCAGAGGUGAAAUUCUUGGAUUUACGCAAGACAAACAGCUGCGAAAGCGUCUGCCAAGGAUGUUUUCAUUA